rnacentral:RNase_P_RNA from 1 species
GAAGCCCACCGGACCGCCGCUGGUGCAAUCGUGGAAACACGGCACUGGAGGAACGUCCGGACUGCACAGGGCAGCGUAGCAGCUAACGGCUGUCCACCGUGAGGUGAGGAUCAGAGCAACAGAGACGAGUCACCGGCGCGCUUCGGCGCGCUGGUGGGUGAAACGGGCAAUCUCUACGCGCAGCAAUACCAAGUAGGCACACGUUGACGGGGCCCCCGGAGUGUGCGGGUAGGUAGCAUCGAGCCGUCUGGUGACAGGCGGCCCAGAGUAAUGGCGGUCACGCCGGGGGAAACCCCGGCGCACAGAAUCCGGCUUACAGGUGGGCUUCACAC